rnacentral:rRNA from 1 species
UACGUAGGGACCAAGCGUUGUUCGGAUUUACUGGGCGUAAAGGGCGCGUAGGCGGCGCGGUAAGUCACUUGUGAAAUCUCUGAGCUUAACUCAGAACGGCCAAGUGAUACUGCAGUGCUAGAGUGUGGAAGGGGCAAUCGGAAUUCUUGGUGUAGCGGUGAAAUGCGUAGAUAUCAAGAGGAACACCUUAGGUGAAGACGGGUUGCUGGGCCAACACUGACGCUGAUGCGCGAAAGCCAGGGGAGCAAACGGG